GGCGGAGAGGCGGACAGCGGCGGCGCGGCGGAGAGACGGACGGCGGCGGAGAGGCGGACAGAGGCGGAGAGGCGGACAGCGGCGGCGCGGCGGAGAGACGGACAGCGGCGGAGAGGCGGACAGCGGCGGAGAGGCGGAUAGCGGCGGCGCGGCGGAGAGGCGGACAGCGGCGGAGAGGCGGACAGCGGCGGCGCGGCGGAGAGACGGACAGCGGCGGAGAGGCGGACAGAGGCGGAGAGGCGGACAGCGGCGGCGCGGCGGAGAGGCGGACAGCGGCGGAGAGGCGGACAGCGGCGGCGCGGCGGAGAGACGGACAGCGGCGGAGAGGCGGACAGCGGCGGAGAGGCGGACAGCGGCGGCGCGGCGGAGAGACGGACAGCGGCGGAGAGGCGGACAGCGGCGGCGAGGCGCGCAGCGGCGGCGCAGGCGCGGAGAGGCGCUGGCGCCGGCUCUGGCGCGGAGAGGCGCAGGCCCAGGCUCCACUCCCCAGCUGUGAAAGGGUUUUCUGCCUCCUGCUAAGCCAAUUUAUACAUUCCAAGAAAAUCUUCCAUUUCAUCCAGGUGAAACAGAACCUACUGGAAUGAAGCUGGCCUCCCAUGGAAUGAAGCUGGCCUCCCGUCUCCUUGAUUUGAAGCAGCUUCUCCACGUUGGUUAUUAUGUCAUUUUUCUAAAUCUAACAUUUUAAAAUUUGUGCCUUUUCUUUCUCUUUUGCUUGACUUCUCAGAGGUUUUUUUAAUGGUCUUUUCAAAGAAGUGGUUUUGGGUUUUAUUUAUCAAGUCUACUUUUAUUAUGGCUGUUUUAAAAUUAAAUACAUUUAUUUCUUGU
rnacentral:lncRNA from 1 species